rnacentral:pre_miRNA from 2 species
GCUUAUGGAUGAGCAAAGAAAGUGGUUUCUUGAGAUGAGAUUUACUCCUGGUGAAGAUGCCAUGAGCA